AAUAUUGGACAAUGGGCGAAAGCCUGAUCCAGCCAUGCCCCGUGUUUGAAGAAGUUCUCCGGAUUGUACAGCACUUUAAGCUGGGAGGAAGGGCAGUAAGUUCAUACCUUGCUGUUUUGACGUUACCGACAGAAUAAGCACCGGCUAACUUCGUGCCAGCAGCCGCGGUAAUACGGGGGGUGCAAGCGUUAAUCGGAAUUACUGGGCGUAAAGCGCGCGUAGAUGAUUAGUUAAGUUGGAAGUGAAAGCCCCGGGCUUAACCUGGGAAUUGCUUUCAAAACUGACGAGCUAGAGUACGGUAGAGGGUAGUGGAAUUUCCUGUGUAGCGGUGAAAUGCGUAGAUAUAGGAAGGAACAUCAGUGGCGAAGGCGACCACCUGGGCUAAUACUGACACUGAGGUGCGAAAGCGUGGGGAGCAAACAGG
rnacentral:rRNA from 1 species